CAGCAGCCGCGGGAAUACGAAGGGGGCUAGCGUUGCUCGGAACGACUGGGCGUAAAGGGCGCGUAGGCGGAUUGUUUAGUUAGGCGUGAAAUUCCUGGGCUUAACCUGGGGACUGCGCUUAAUACAGGCAGUCUAGAGUGAGGAAGAGGGUUGUGGAAUUCCCAGUGUAGAGGUGAAAUUCGUAGAUAUUGGGAAGAACACCGGUGGCGAAGGCGGCGACCUGGUCCUUUACUGACGCUGAGGCGCGAAAGCGUGGGGAGCAAACAGGAUUAGAUACCCGUGUAGUCCCUGUCUCUUAUAC
rnacentral:rRNA from 1 species